rnacentral:rRNA from 1 species
ACGGGUGAGUAACACGUGGAUAACCUACCUAUAAGACUGAGAUAACUUCGGGAAACCGGAGCUAAUACCGGAUAAUAUAUUGAACCGCAUGGUUCAAUAGUGAAAGACGGUUUUGCUGUCACUUAUAGAUGGAUCCGCGCCGCAUUAGCUAGUUGGUAAGGUAACGGCUUACCAAGGCAACGAUGCGUAGCCGACCUGAGAGGGUGAUCGGCCACACUGGAACUGAGACACGGUCCAGACUCCUACGGGAGGCAGCAGUAGGGAAUCUUCCGCAAUGGGCGAAAGCCUGACGGAGCAACGCCGCGUGAGUGAUGAAGGUCUUCGGAUCGUAAAACUCCGUUAUUAGGGAAGAACAAAUGUGUAAGUAACUAUGCACGUCUUGACGGUACCUAAUCAGAAAGCCACGGCUAACUACGUGCCAGCAGCCGCGGUAAUACGUAGGUGGCAAGCGUUAUCCGGAAUUAUUGGGCGUAAAGCGCGCGUAGGCGGUUUUUUAAGUCUGAUGUGAAAGCCCACGGCUCAACCGUGGAGGGUCAUUGGAAACUGGAAAACUUGAGUGCAGAAGAGGAAAGUGGAAUU